UGUUGUAUAGUUAACAUUACGUCAUUGGACGACGAGAUUACAAGAGAUUGCACCACGACAUGCAACUCAAAACAAGUUACGUCAUGGUAUAUUUUGGCCGUCAGGGAUUGCACCACGAAGUGCAACUCAAAGAAAAACCUUAUGAUUGGACAAAUAAUAACAAGAACCUCUUUUCCUUUUUGACGUUUGCUUUGCUGGAACUUUUAUUGGAUGUUUAGAUUUAUUGCACCAUCUAUUGUUUAAUCUUAUAUAAAUUUGAGCUUUUAGUUUAGAGAUUUAGAGAAGUUGUAAUUUAGACGCUAGUUUGACGCUGAUGAAGAUAAAGAUAAAGACCAGUCGCCGUUUCUCUCUCUCUGACGUUCUUCUGCCGCCGCUAAAGUAAAGAUUCAGAAGCAAGGUCGUAAGUUAAAGCCCUGAAUUUUAUUGUGUAUUUGUUAAAGUAGUAAGAACUCACACAAUUUCAUGUUAUACUCAACACUGUCGUUCAACCUCAAGUAUAACAAUAUUGUUUAGAAAAAGAAGAAACUCGAAUUUUUUUGCAAUUCUUAUCUUAACUACAAUUCCCUGAUGAAUGUUCUAUUAUUUCCCGUUAAAACUUUCAGCUUAAACCUUUUUGUUACUUGGAACAGCUGUUUAAAUUUUCUUUAGUUAACAGAACGGCCUUUGGCGAAGGGUGCAAUAUACUUUCGGACCAUGAGUGUGAAACCUUAAGAGAAUUUUGGGGCAUAACUCCUCAUGACUGUAUGAUGAAGGUUUCAUACAUUUGAAAAAGAAAAUGUUGCUUGAUUUUUCUCAACGACGUCUUCCGAGAUGACAUAUCCUUCAUUCUUUGAUUUAUUAUGCUUCAAAGAGGGUCAGUGUUCCAUGGGCUCCGACGCAGGUUGGAAAGUAGGGGGGGGAAGGGAAAAUUCAGCAGUCAUAACAAUUUAACAGUGGGGGGGGGGGCAUGCACUGUGUUUAUUUCCUUCUUGCAUCAAACACACGUUUCUCUCUGUCUAUACUUUCACUGUCGAUCAAUACUCCAGACUCUACUUCUGCAUCUCGAGGCGAAGAUAAACAUGUACGUCGAGCUCGAAACGAAAGACAGAAAUGUAAUUAUGUUGCUGCUGCUUGCCUCGUAUCUGUUUUGUUUUCCCAGCUGGGCGGAGAUUGAAAAAAGAGCAGAUAAAAAGACCAUUACUUCAAAAGCCAAGCUGGGGCAAGGAGUGGCAAUAAAUGUGCGAUCUAAACAAAAUUUCCAGAUUUGCCCAACCAAUAUACUGGUAGCCAUAAAUUUGCCCGAGAAAAUCUGCUUUUUUGAAGAUUGGGGGGAGUGCAGCACCCCCAUACCCUCCCCCAGCAGUUUCGGCCCUGUAAUUAAAAACAAAAGCAUGAAUAACUAAAACGAAUUAAUAUUUAAAUAUAACCUAAAUGUACAAUAUAACUCUUACAUAAUUUAUAGUUGCAUGUAAAAUUCCAAAACUUAAUAUCCUUUUUGGAUAAUGUCUUACGCAUAAGGACUCCUUUAUAUGCAGUGGUAAGUCUCUCCAAAGAUUUUGUCCUAGGAAGCAUAUAUUUUCUAAUCCAUAGGCUGUAGUCCUAGUUUUACGUGCAUAUAUUAUAUGUUGAUCGUAACUCUUUGUCGUAACUCGCAACUCGUAACUCGUAAGUUAUAAUACAUAUCUCUAUGCACGAACAUUUCUUUCAUAAAAGGAGGAUUCAGAUUCAUCAUUGUUCGGUAGAUUUUGGCGACAAGCAACUGCAGAUUUCGUUGAUGAAUGGAGACUGAAUUAUCUGUAAUUAACAGUUCUUGAAAACUGAAGGUCCAAUUUUGAUAUUCGUAGUGCUCAUUUGUGAAUGUGGUUGAUUUUUGCGUUAACACGUCUCUCAUGAAACAUCCAUAUCAACGGACAGUAGCUAAACUGAGACAUUAUAACGGCUCUCAUGACCAUUAUAGUUUUUUCUUUGGGCAUAUACAGUGAGGCCCGUGCAAACCGUGUUUAAAUGUUGUUUAAAAUUGAGCUUUUGGUCAAUUUAAACGCCUAACAAUUUUUCUUCUUUGCUCUCUUUAAUCACAGAGGGGCCAACAUUGAUUGAGAUUUCUGUGUCUUUUUUACCAAAUACUAGGAGGUGGCAUUUUUCUUCAUUCAAUUUCAUAAAAUUUUCUGCAAACCAAUUGCUUAGUUUCUAGCUUUAAAGUAACCUCCUGUAACUCUUGAUGAGAACAGUAAAUUUUCGUAUCAUCUGCAUAAUUACAGAUUUCAGUCCCAUUCAACAAAAAGAAAAUAUCAUCGACAAAUAUAUUAAACAAAAGAGGCCCUAGAACUGAUCCAUGAUGGACGCCUUAUUUCAUUUCUUUCCAAGAGCUGAAUGAGCCAUUUACUUUGACUCCUUGCCUUCUACCUUCUACGUUAGAUAGCUAUGCACCAUUUGUAUGGCAUUUGUACUAAAGCCGUUUGCAUUCAAUUUAGGAAGCAAAUGUUCGUGGUUGAGACAAUCAAAACAAUGGAUAAGUCCAUUAAGACUGCUCCGACAAAGCCUUUGUUGUCUAAGCUCUUCUUACAAAUCUCCAUCAAUUUUAGCAGAGCAUGCUGGGUAUUGUACCCCUGUCGAUUGCCACAAAUUUUAGGAGCCCCAUUCAGAAUCUACGUUUCUGGUGAUGCCAAGGUUAUUAUUGUUAGGCUGCUCGAUGGACUCUAGAUGACAAGGAACGCGAAACAGACCAAGAAUUUACAGAUCUUAGAUGGAACAAGGCCGAACAAGUUGAUGGCGAGACACUGAUACUAUCAUUUGAAUGACCAAAGAAACAUGUGAAAUGGAACAUUACCCCUUAACACUAAGUCUGCCUUCACUGUCAGGUGACGAUCGCAAUAAUGAACCAUGAGCUGCUUGUGGAGGCGGUGGAAAAAAGUUCACAUAGAGAAACUCUGCCGUCUUCUGUUAACACCGACAGUUUUGAACUUUUUCAAGCCUUUUUGAAGAUUUAUAUUUCAUCUUACUUUUUUAAAAAUAGAUGAGUAGGACAGGCAAGAACAGGUUCAAAUAAUCAAAUAACUGAAAAACCAAAAAUCACAUGCCUAUGAAAAUUUGAGCGCUGUUGGCUUCCUUAAAAGGAAAAUAUUUUUUCUGAAGAUAUUUUCUGAAACCUUAAUUUUUGUUGCCUCGGAUGAUGUUGGGGAGGCCUCUUCCUGAAAAUUCCUGAAAAUGUAUGCCCAAUCCCAGCCUCAUGUAUUGCACUCAUUUUUAUAAGAAAAUUGCGAUAAGAAAUAACCAAUGGAUAAUAAAGAAGAAUUAAGAAACUUCAGAGCUUGAAGCUUCAGUGCAUGCGGAGAAAAAUCAAUUGCGCUUUAUGAUAUUUUUUGUGCUAUUUUGAAGUAAGAUAGACUCCGUAUACAGCUUUAACUUCAAGACAUCAUCUCAAUUAAGUUUGCUUUUUCAAUUUGCUUCAAAAAAGACACUGAGCCUUAAGACCAAGACCGAGAUAAUGAUUUCCUGCCCGUAAUGUAUUUUGGGGUUUUUAUGUGAUAUCUUUCAGUAGAUUUCAAAAAAAGCUAUAAACCAUUUCAACUAAGGUGUUUCAAAUUGGAGAAGCAUUGGAAAGAUUCCUCUCAAGGCUACAGUAGCUGAACGAUGACAAGCCUCUCGGUGGUAGCUGGAAGAAACAUCCAAUUGGGAAUGUUGCAUAACAGGGACUAUAGUCCUCCUCAACUUUUUUGCAAUAAUAAGUUAGAAAAUGUUUUGAAAGUUUACGCUGACGAACGCAUUAGUAGCAGUUCUUCUAGGAACACGUUUUUGUUCUUUUUGAUGAUGCUUUAUCUUGUUUGAUCAAAGAUAAAUUUUUAUUUCAUCUAACUCGGUUUUGUUAAUUGAAAUCUUCUUUAAAUCGUUCAAGAUGACAAGGACAGAAAAAAGCAAAUAUUUUCUGAAAGGAGUGGUUUCCGGUGUUUCAAAGGGUGUGGCCAUUAAAAAAAUUUAGGGGCAAGCCUGCUAGUCCCGUUCCAGCCGCUCCCUUGUGGGCUGGUGCCAGUGUGACCUGAUCUAGCGUAAUAUUAACAUGAUAUUGGCCGAAAAUCGCCAUUUAGCAUAAAAUCUAGCAUAAUUUGGAAUCCAGCCUAACUCUGGCAUAAUUGUUUCCAUUGAUCCAUUGUCUAUCGUUACCAAAUGCAAACACUUUACACCAGCAUCUGUGGUUUCAUUUUGGGAGUAAAUUUUGACUUUCUACCUUCAGGUUAUUGCCAACUGUUUUGAAUGGUUGGCAGCCACAUAUUUGUGGUUGGCAGCCAAAUGCAGCCAACUAAACGCAGUAUACAAAAAAGCUAAAUUUUUGCUAAUUAUUGGGAGUGAUACUGUAAUUAAAAUUUGCUUUGUAUGUUACAAAAGUUUUCGCUUGCUUUGAUCUAAAACUGUCUGUUAUCUUUUGCUUUGUUUCAUCAUUCAUCAGUUGCAAUUUUGAAAUUAUUUUGAAUAUUAUCUGUGAACAAUUUUUGUUUUCUUUGCA